rnacentral:rRNA from 1 species
ACCUAAUAGAUACCCAGGUAGUCCUGGCCCUAAACGAUGUCAACUAGAUUAUGGCGGCUCUGACGCCGUCAUGGUCGAAAGCAAAAGUGGUAAGUUGACCGCCUGGGAAGUACGGUCGCAAGGCUAAAACUCAAAGGAAUUGACGGGGGCUCACACAAGCGGAGGAGCAUGUGGUUUAAUUCGAAGCAACGCGCAGAACCUUACCUGGGUUUGACAUGCCUGGAUUAUCCCUGUGAAAGCAGGGUACGCCCUUCGGGUGGAACGUGGCACAGGUGCUGCAUGGCUGUCGUCAGCUCGUGUCGUGAGAUGU